CUAAUACAUGCAAGUCGAACGCUUUGUGCUUAAUUGAUAUGACGAGCUUGCUCUGAUUUGAUUUUUUGAUUUCAAAGAGUGGCGAACGGGUGAGUAACACGUGGGUAACCUACCUCUUAGCAGGGGAUAACAUUUGGAAACAAGUGCUAAUACCGUAUAAUACCAACAACCGCAUGGUUGUUGGUUGAAAGAUGGUUCUGCUAUCACUAAGAGAUGGACCCGCGGUGCAUUAGCUAGUUGGUAAGGUAAUGGCUUACCAAGGCAAUGAUGCAUAGCCGAGUUGAGAGACUGAUCGGCCACAAUGGGACUGAGACACGGCCCAUACUCCUACGGGAGGCAGCAGUAGGGAAUCUUCCACAAUGGGCGCAAGCCUGAUGGAGCAACGCCGCGUGUGUGAUGAAGGGUUUCGGCUCGUAAAACACUGUUAUAAGAGAAGAACGGCACUGAGAGUAACUGUUCAGUGUGUGACGGUAUCUUACCAGAAAGGAACGGCUAAAUACGUGCCAGCAGCCGCGGUAAUACGUAUGUUCCAAGCGUUAUCCGGAUUUAUUGGGCGUAAAGCGAGCGCAGACGGUUAUUUAAGUCUGAAGUGAAAGCCCUCAGCUCAACUGAGGAAUUGCUUUGGAAACUGGAUGACUUGAGUGCAGUAGAGGAAAGUGGAACUCCAUGUGUAGCGGUGAAAUGCGUAGAUAUAUGGAAGAACACCAGUGGCGAAGGCGGCUUUCUGGACUGUAACUGACGUUGAGGCUCGAAAG
rnacentral:rRNA from 1 species